AAAGUUUCAAUGAUCAUUAGAAAUACAGGUGAUGGACAUUCAAGAAACAUCGUUCUCUUUUAAAACACAAUAUUCUGUUUUGUUUUUGUUUUUGUUUUUAAAGAUCCCUGUCUUUUUGUACAUUCCUUAAUAUCUAGUAUUUGUUCCAACACAAUGUUGGUAGCCAGAAGCCACCGACCUGAGGUUGGCAACUCUUAGAGAACGCAGCUUUCCUCUAUAGAACAGCAAGUUGCUACGGUUCAGCCAAAUUCUAUCUGUCUAAUAAAAGGCACAGAUCUCCCUCCGCGCCCCGGCUUGGGCAGGUAACUCACCAGUUCAGCUCCCUCUCCACCGCGCUCUGUGGAAACUGAAAGUGGCCACUGAGCGGGCGCUGUUCGCUAGUUCAUAGACUCUACUGCCGCUGCCGAGAAAUCACGUGGAUUCAAAGUGCCAGCCCCAGGGCGCGCGAGUAGCGUGCCCGGAACCCGCCGCGGCUUGGAGAUCGCAGCGGGACAUGCCUCUCUGACUACUGAGACUGGAGACGAUGUAGGAUGAAGGCAGGAGGAGCCACUGAGCAAAACUUCGUGGAGUUGGGUCCAGGGUCCAGUGGCGACAGCGGCUCAUCACCUGAGACCUGACCUGGACAAGCGCGGCCUCCAGGUGUGUCUCUGCUGGUCCCUGGGUGCAAGGGUUGCCUAGGCUACAGAAGAAAGCUUGGUGCAGGGAUAAGGGAUGGAAAGAGGUGGGCGGUAAGAAAAGGACUACAGGGCCAGCGUCAGCCCUGGAAAGUUCCUGUCUCUGUUCCAAGUUCUACAACCUGCCCUGCCUCUUGUCUUUGUCCCAGAACAGGAGGCCAGGCUCCUCCUGAGGAUGGUUUCUGUGACAUCCCACAGUGAAGCAACUUUCCCAGAAUGCUCUGGGGGAGGAAUGGGGAGACAGUGCAUUAGCACUGUAGGGCAGGGUCAUCAGCACACCCAUGACCCCCAAACCUCAGGCUCAAGUCCUCCUCUUAAGUGCUGGCUACAUCACCUUAGGCCAGUGGUUCUCAGCCUUCCUAAUGCUGGGACCCUUUAAUACUGCAGCCUCACGCUGUGCUGACCCCCAACCAUAACAUUAUUCUCGUUGCUACUUCAUAGCUGUAAUUUUGCUACUGUUACGAAUCAUAAUGAAAUCAUUUGACUUGGCAGAGGUUGGGUCCCCCAGAUUGAGAAACACUGCCCUAGACAAAAGUCUUGACUCUGAGUUUCAGUUCUGUCAUCUGUCCUGAGGACCAGAGAAGGAGCACCUUCCAAUUCCUUCAGAAGAAGUUAGAGCAGAUGUGCUGUGUGCCCAAAACUCUUAAGAAAUCCUUCUACGUUAGUCCCCUUCUUUGGAUCUCAAAUUCCUGUGACCUUCUAACCUCCUCCCUCCCGGGACCGAGCCGGAAAUCUAGAAAGUUCUUGACAGGCAAGAGUGUGUGUGGGGGGGAGUCAUUAUUAUUUUGACUGAUUACUUAUGUGUGACUCUUAGCUUUCCCAACCUUACCUGGCUCGCCUCUUACAAAUAGAUGCCUUGUUUUU